UUUCCCAAGAUGUCUGGUGCACCUUCUGGUGGUGCAGGUGUGCGGGUCGUGCGUCCUCCCGGGGCAGCCCCUGCGCGGCCCCGGCCCCGGCCCCGCCGCGGGUUCAGCUCCCGCUCAGGUGUGCGGGCACGCGACGGAGUUGGGUGAAUCCGCCCAGCGCGGGGACAGGAGUGGUGCGCGAGCCGCCACACCCCGGGUGCAGUUAAUCGCCUGCUUAAUUACUCGCGGCUGGGAAUUGCCUGACCCUUCCUUACAAAGGGGAUCGCUGGAGGUAAAUGGUUUGGUCGAGGGUUGGUGCUGUGGGAUUUUUGCACUUCACUGUAGUUCUGGAGGAGACUGGUGCGGGCCCAAGUUUGCCCACCUGAGCGGUCCCGUCGACUUUGCGGCUUUGGUUGCAUCUUCCGUCGCGCCGGCCGCGAGGCACGAGGAGCAGUUUUCCUGUUGUACCUCUGCAGAGUGGCCGCGACUCCCUGGUUCCUUCCAGUCUUCCUAUUCUAGGCCUCCAGACAAGUUCUACACUGACAGUCUUAAAAUUAUUCCUCCCUUCCUCCUGUGUUGGGUAAGUGACUUUGCCUGUGAAAUAUACCUCUUAUUCACCACACUAUCAAAAAACCCACAAACCAAACAAAAAAAAAAUCACCCCAAAAUCCCCACCACCAAAACCACAUACCACAAACAACCAAACCAACCAAACCCCUACUGCCAACAAAAAACAACCAACCAAAACUACUCUGCCAACCAAAAAAACCACAUGUACAACAUCAACUUCUCCUUUGGAAAAAUACU